ACUACGCUGGCGGCGUGCCUAACACAUGCAAGUCGUACGAGAAAGUUGGCUUCGGCCGAUGAGUAAAGUGGCGCACGGGUGAGUAACGCGUGGAUAAUCUGCCCUUUAGUGUGGAAUAACGUACCGAAAGGUGCGCUAAUACCGCAUAAUACUGAAUGACUACUGUUGUUCAGUCAAUGAAGGCUUCUGUUUACAUGCUUUUGCUGAAGGAUGAGUCCGCGUACCAUUAGCUAGUUGGUAGGGUAAUGGCCUACCAAGGCGACGAUGGUUAGCUGGUCUGAGAGGAUGAUCAGCCACACUGGAACUGAGACACGGUCCAGACUCCUACGGGAGGCAGCAGUGAGGAAUAUUGCGCAAUGGGGGCAACCCUGACGCAGCAACGCCGCGUGCGGGACGACGGCCUUCGGGUUGUAAACCGCUUUCAUACGGGAAGAAAAUGUUCUGGUUAAUACCCGGGACGGAUGACGGUACUGUAAGAAGAAGCACCGGCUAACUACGUG
rnacentral:rRNA from 1 species